UCCACCUGUUUGAGAUCACAGUGAACGCACUGUCUUGUUGCUUCUUUUACCACAAGAACAAGCAGAUACUGUAAAACACUAAUGAAGUAUUCUCGACAUUUUCUGUCAGCUUUUAGGUGGGUCAUUAUUUAAGGGGCUGGGUGAAAGUGACGGGUACGAAUGCAAUGAACUUUCUGACAGCAAGACCAAGGCCAUCUGUGCAGUGAUGGGUGCGACAUAAAGGCUGUCUGUGUGAAUCGUGGGAAAGGUAGCGGCUGCCCUGCGAGUGUGCUGCCAUCAAUUGAGCUAAUUGAGGAUUAUGGCGUGGAGUUUGCCGUGGCUCAGCGAAAGGAUAAUCCCUCAUCGACUGCGGUCACUGCCAGUAAUUGGAGCAUAUUACAGGGAGGAGUUCUCCUGCAGCGCCGUCGAAAACUGAGAAGCUCGUUGUUUAAUUAUCGACUCUCUAAAGAAACAAAAAAAAGAGCGUCCACAGGGAAAAAAAUGUGAUGCAAGGCUCGGGCAGUUUGACUGACAAAGGGGUUUUCAUUGGGGUUCCUGCUGUAUCAGGCUAUCAUUCUUCAUCACGUUAGACAUGCCAUGAAAAGCUUGUUUCUUUAAAAAAAGGCAAUGAAGUUGCAUCAUUUUUCGAUAUAAUCCUGAGGAAGCAGACACGAUAGCGAGAUGUUCGGAUUCCAGAACAUGUCGGACCAAAUUGUUAAAACACAAACCUCAAUGUCAACGCUGUAUUUUUGUUUGGAGGUGUAGGAAGCUGCUGUUGACGAGAGCAUUUCCAUUACGAAGUGAACGAAGAGUCGAUGCUACGAAAUAGAUUUCCUCUGUUAAAUGGAUCCAUUCCCCACCCCUGCAAUACAGUCUAAUGCAGAUUUCUCAGCAAAUCUUUUCGGUGGGAACUCAAACGAGCAUGUUAUUUUUUUUUGAUAUUUCCAUUGAAACUGCCGAUCCAAAAUGCAUCUGUAAAUCCAGGGUAUGAUCUCUUCACCUGUUCAUUUCAAGAGGAUGUAUCACAGAAAGCUGCCACUAACAGGGUGCACAGUCCUGAGGAUACAAUGAUGAUUAAAAAAAAUUAACGCAGAGAUCAUGGAACCAUAAGCUGUUUGGAAAAUGGACAUUCAUUACAGAUUGGAUGUCAAUUCAGAAAAUUCUGACUUAGAAAAGAUGUCUCAACUUCAUCAACUUUCAUGGACACUUCAACUGAGUAAUCAAGAUUUAUUGGUGGAGGAGGACUGGAACAUUUUGUCACUCAGUCUUAACAACAGUGCGGUGGGCGCAACUCAUGCCCACAUGUAUUCCCUCAACUUCUUUAUCUUCUUGAGCAAACUUGACAAUGAUUAACAAACAUGUAAGGACUUGUGAAAAUAUGUCUGGCUAGAACCCUUCCACCAUUGUGAGGAAAAGAUAUAUUAAUAAUAUCUAAGCUCUUUAUUAGAUCAGCUUUCCCUUUCCAUAAACUUUGAAUCUUCUAUAUCAAAAAUGCUUCUGGAAUCAUUGAAAAAUAAUGACAUUUUGGCCAUUUUUGGCACCUUGUUAUAGGCACACACUCUCUUAGAAUUUGAUUGAGAUUCAGUCAGCUUUGCAAGUAAUCUGUUUUUAAUUAUGCUUUCCACUUUUCCUUAAUUCUAAAUAAAAGUGGAGAUUCCUUGUUGUUUGGACCAAGCUUUCUGUGUUGGAUUGGCGCCAGUGUUUGGAAUGAAACAGCUGCGAAUUUACGCUCGAUUGGUCAGAUACUGUCUUCAGUCCCUCCAACAAUCUGUUUCCGAAGCCGCAAGAACCUUCCAUGUGACAGUGUCUGCGGAUGAGACCAUUUGCAUGUUUGCCGAUAAAGAUUCCAGCAAGCAAGCUGUCAGUAUGCUCCAUGCCAACACUGGCGGAUGUGCUCAGAAACCCUGCACCUGGUUAAACCUACUAUAGGAUCUAAAGGCCCAUUCAUUGCAAUGAAGAUUUUAUGGCUGUGUGGAAGGAAGAUAAAUAUAAUGUGUUAUAUUCUGUAAAUACUGCUUUAUUGUUAUUUUGUGAAUCAGAGUACUUAUUUAAAAAUGUUAAAAUAUUAUUACAUUUUAUAAUAUAAUUUCAUUUUUAGUAGUUCGAAGAGGCAAAUACAAAGGUUUGGCCCCACUGUACAAGUCACAGAUCAUUAUUUCCACCUAACAUGGAAAAUCAUAACCUGCUAUUCAAAAGAAACUUUUGAAUGGGGUUCUAGAUUCUUUCCAGUGAUGAAGUAUUGCAGGAAUCUACUUUCUUUUGGCUGAUGUAGAUUUAAAGUAACAAUUGUAAUUUUUCAUUUUGGUGAUUAAGACAGAUAAUUAGAUGUGGAAUAUGUGGCAUAUUACUGUGAUGUAUUUUUCAUAUUAUUGAACUGGUCCUAAACUAUUCUUCUUUUUAGGGUGAUCAUGCUGUUAUGUAAUAUAAUAAAUUAAAAAUUCUCUGCAACUAUCCAUGUCUACUACAGAUUGAGCCUUUGGCUUAUAGAAUUGCACAUACACUUUGCAGGAAAUCCAGUGUAAAGAUUUUCUGGGUCACAUCUUUUCUUGGGUGUUAGGUUGUGACUUCCAAACAUCUGGCAUGAAUUCCAUUUGA